UACGUAGGUGGCAAGCGUUGUCCGGAUUUACUGGGCGUAAAGGGCGUGCAGGCGGUCUGUUAAGUGCAGGGUGAAAGCUCCCGGCUCAACUGGGAGAGGUCCUUGCAUACUGGCGGACUUGAGGGGGGUAGAGGAAAGUGGAAUUCCCGGUGUAGUGGUGAUAUGCGUAGAUAUCAGGAAGAACACCCGUGGCGAAGGCGGCUCUCUGGGACGGUACUGACGCUGAGACGCGAAAGCGUGGGGAGCGAACAGG
rnacentral:rRNA from 1 species